UGCGAUUACCCAGCACCAGCACGUUUGGUGUGCGCCUUUAAAAACCGGAGGCCGCAAAGUGGUGGUGGGGUGGGGAAGUUUUCUGGAGUGGUGGGCUUUGGGGGAGCGGACGGAGGGGGGAGAGAAGCGAGGUUGCACUCUCGGCGGAGUUGCGUAACGGGGCCUCUGCGCUGGGGGAGCGGAGCUCGCCGAGGAAGUGGGCCUGGACCUUGCUAACGCCUCCGGGGUGGGGGCCGUGCAGCGCUAGCUGGCGAGGAGGCUGCUCUCGUCUGCUCUGGCUUUGGGCGUGGGGCGUGGCUCUCUUGGCACGACCGGAUAAUAAUGGCUUCCCCCGCGCGGGGAGUGGGGGUGAUGCUGGCUCGGCUCCGCGCGCUGGGGGUGGGAGGAGGAGGAGGAGGAGGAGAAGCAGCCGCCUGAGAGGGCGGUUGGGUGGUGGGUAACGCCUGCGUAGAAGGGUGGCGGCGGGAGGAGAGGAACGGCCGCCUCGCCCGAAGCUAGGGUCGCCCCCGUGGCCCGGCAGUUGAGCUCCUCUGGCCGAGGAGAAGGAGGAGGCGCGGGGGAUGCAGAGGCGCCAGUGUACAGUUUGCGGCUUCAGCCCUGCGCUCGCAGCGGGGCAGGGGCUUUCCCGCUACCGCUUGCAGCGGCCGCCGCCCCGCCAACGGCUGAGCGCGUGGAGGGCCUCGAGGCGGGCGGCGCCGAAGUCGCGCGGCGGAAGGGGGGGAGGGGCGGGCGUCCCUCCUCACGGGGAGCCGGUGACAGGUGGAGCGGCGCGCGUCCCGCGGCGGUCACGUGGCGUGGGGGCAGGGCGGGCGCCGCGCGGGAGCGCUCGGGCGACGCCGGCGUGGCCUGGCGGCGUGAGGGAGGGGAGGCCCGCGGGGAAGCGGGCCCCGCCGCCGCUUGGCCACCGCCGCGCGUUGCUUCGGAAGGCUCCGUGGCAGCCCGGGGGUGUGGGGCGGGCGGGGGCGGGCUGGCUCUUAGAAAAGCACGAGGGACCUGAGUCGGGCUUCCCGGAACGUCUCACGUUUCAUGGCAGAAUUCCCCUUGAUUUCAGUAGGACCAAAAUCACUAGACUCAUACAGCUGUAGCUUCCAGGAAAAUGUCACUAAACUACUCUUCAGCCUCAUUACAAAAUGGCCUCAUUUGUGAAUCAAUGCCUAAGUCCUGCAUAUUAGCCAGGGGCAUGACUCUCACUCUCCACAUUUCUGCAAAAUCCCAUGUCAAGUCCUUGAAGAGACCGUAAGUCCCGAAGAUGAUCAGUGCUGAUGAGUCAUGCCUCACCUACACACUGAACAAGAAGAGAAGCAAAAGGUUUCAGGAACUCCACAGGGACAUGUUCAGGCAGAAGAGCAAAUGCUAGUAAAAAAAUAUCCUCUGGGAUCUCUCUGAGAGAUGGAAAUGGAGCCACUGAAAGCCGGCCAUACGAACUGCCGCAGGGUUUGCAACUGCAUCAACAGUUGUGAAACCGAAAACGGCUAGCCAACAGAUCUAACUGUAUUAGUCUAAGCACCUUCUCUGUUUUCAUUACCUGGAUCAUCUGCUAUAGGAACCACAUCUUGCAUUCAUACACUUAGGUAUAAACCCAGACUGACAAGAAUCAGGAAGAUCUGAAAUAUCUAGACAACAUGAACAUUUUCUAUGGGAUACUGUGGAAGAGUUAGCUGGCUUGCCUUGUGUCUAGCCUUGGCUGCUUGAUAAGAGACAGGAAGGCAGCUUUGUCAGAUGUUGGCAUGCCUCUAUAUUGCUAAUUAUAAGGACAUUACAUACUCCAAACUCUUUUCUUUCAACAACAUGCUAAUGUUAGAAAACUAUACUAUCUAGCUGUGUCUGGCAUGCUAUCACCUGAUUAUCAAUGUGUCAAAUGUCGGUAAUAAAACUCAGUUACUAAGCAAGCCACUAUCUCCUGUGCUAACUUCAAUCUCAGGGCUGAUUUAAGAAGUAGCUGCAUGUAGAGAAUGCUGCAUGUCUGCUAAGGCUGGUGUAAUCAAUGGGUUAAUUAGAAUUUUAAAUGCUUUGUUCUCAUGUUGAGAGAUAUGCCUCACUCUAAAAGAAGAGCUCUGUGACAUGGGAAAAUGUGUCUUUUUUUUCAUUAUAAUUGCCCCUUCUGAAAAAUGCCUUGUGUAUUGGCAGCAUGAGAGUCCAAAUGAGAGACUAUAAACAUUUUAAAAUAAUCAGUUUCCAAUUUUAUUUUCUUAUUUGUAAUGCUUGAACUCUCUUGCUUUCUUGAUGUUCGUAUUGUCACAAAGCUCCUGAAGGUAUGCUAUGUCAUCUACCUCUACACUAUGAGUAUAAAGAUUGCACAGAACUGCAUACAAUAAAAACAAAAUGAAAGCAGUAAAAUAA